rnacentral:sRNA from 1 species
CUUCCUCGAUCUGCUGCGGGCAGAUGUAAUGGAUAUGGCUGUCAAAACCGCCGGCGGUGAGGAUCUUGCCUUCGCCGGCAAUCGCCUCGGUGCCGGGUCCGACGAUGAUGUUGACCCCUGGCUGGGUGUCGGGAUUGCCGGCCUUGCCGAUGGCGGCGAUGCGCCCAUCUUUCAGGCCGAUGUCGGCCUUAUAGAUCCCGGUGUGAUCGACCACCAGCGCAUUGGUGAUGACGGUGUCGACAGCGCCAUCAGCGCGAGUGACCUGGGACUGACCCAUGCCGUCGCGAAUG